rnacentral:rRNA from 1 species
CGGCGGACGGGUGAGUAAUGCCUAGGAAUCUGCCUAGUAGUGGGGGACAACGUUUCGAAAGGAACGCUAAUACCGCAUACGUCCUACGGGAGAAAGUGGGGGAUCUUCGGACCUCACGCUAUUAGAUGAGCCUAGGUCGGAUUAGCUAGUUGGUAGGGUAAAGGCCUACCAAGGCGACGAUCCGUAACUGGUCUGAGAGGAUGAUCAGUCACACUGGAACUGAGACACGGUCCAGACUCCUACGGGAGGCAGCAGUGGGGAAUAUUGGACAAUGGGCGAAAGCCUGAUCCAGCCAUGCCGCGUGUGUGAAGAAGGCCUUCGGGUCGUAAAGCACUUUAAGUUGGGAGGAAGGGCUCAUAGCGAAUACCUGUGAGUUUUGACGUUACCAACAGAAUAAGCACCGGCUAACUUCGUGCCAGCAGCCGCGGUAAUACGAAGGGUGCAAGCGUUAAUCGGAAUUACUGGGCGUAAAGCGCGCGUAGGUGGCUUGAUAAGUUGGAUGUGAAAUCCCCGGGCUCAACCUGGGAACUGCAUCCAAAACUGUCUGGCUAGAGUGCGGUAGAGGGUAGUGGAAUUUCCAGUGUAGCGGUGAAAUGCGUAGAUAUUGGAAGGAACACCAGUGGCGAAGGCGACUACCUGGACUGACACUGACACUGAGGUGCGAAAGCGUGGGGAGCAAACAGGAUUAGAUANCCCUGGUAGUCCACGCCGUAAACGAUGUCAACUAGCCGUUGGGAUCCUUGAGAUCUUAGUGGCGCA